GAGAUCGAUCCCUUCAGUUCGGCUGGACCGGAGACAGGUGCUGCAUGGCUGUCGUCAGCUCGUGUCGUGAGAUGUUGGGUUAAGUCCCGCAACGAGCGCAACCCUCGCCUUAGUUGCCACCAUUCAGUUGGGCACUCUAAGGGGACUGCCGGUGAUAAGCCGCGAGGAAGGUGGGGAUGACGUCAAGUCCUCAUGGCCCUUACGGGCUGGGCUACACACGUGCUACAAUGGCGGUGACAGUGGGAUGCAAUGGAGUGAUCCUGCGCAAAUCUCAAAAAGCCGUCUCAGUUCGGAUUGUGCUCUGCAACUCGAGCACAUGAAGUUGGAAUCGCUAGUAAUCGCAGAUCAGCACGCUGCGGUGAAUACGUUCCCGGGCCUUGUACACACCGCCCGUCACACCAUGGGAGUUGGCUUUACCUGAAGACGGUGCGCUAACCGCAAGGAGGCAGCCGGCCACGGUAGGGUCGGCGACUGGGGUGAAGUCGUAACAAGGUAAGCGUAGUGCU
rnacentral:rRNA from 1 species